UACGUAGGGGGCAAGCGUUGUCCGGAUUUAUUGGGCGUAAAGAGCGUGUAGGCGGUCAGGUAGGUCCGUUGUGAAAACUCGAGGCUCAACCUCGAGACGCCGAUGGAAACCAUCUGACUAGAGUCCGGAAGAGGAGAGUGGAAUUCCUGGUGUAGCGGUGGAAUGCGCAGAUAUCAGGAGGAACACCUAUGGCGAAGGCAGCUCUCGGGUACGUGACUGACGCUGAGACGCGAAAGCGUGGGGAGCAAACAGG
rnacentral:rRNA from 1 species